rnacentral:sRNA from 2 species
AACUGGAAAUGGCCUAACACGUUCGGCCUUGUCCGAGCGUUGCGGGGGAACCAAGGGGAGGCGACCGUCGCGACAUCGCGACAUCGCGACAUCGCUUCCAGGGGCGAAUCCGACCGAUGGUCGGACGGGGACUUCCAAUCUCGAGCCCGACAGCUAACCCCGUCGGCCGUUGGAAGGACAC